UUCUAUUUUUUUUAAAUUUUAUUAGAAUUUGGGACGAAUAUAAGAUUCGUCCCAAAAUUCUAUAUUCGCCCCAAAAUCUGGGACGAAUAUAGGAUUCGUCCCAAAAUUUGGGACAUAAGUUAAUUUCGUGCCAAAAUUUGCCCUAAAUACACGCUCCUUCUCGCCCUAAAUACGCUCCUCGAUUCUCUUCCAUCUUCUGCAACGACGGCGACAAGGGGAGGCGCUGGUCUAGGGUUGCUGCUGUCGGUCUGGCCGAGGCGCCGGCGACAAUGGGGAGGCGGCGGCGGGCAUGGGGCCGCUGGAGGCCGGCAGCAGUAGGGCGGCGCAGCUCUUCCGCUGCGACGAUUUCCGUCAGGAACUGUUUAAAUUGCUAGUUGAAGGGCACUUUAUCUGAAAGGGAUGAACAAAUGAGAGAAAGAGAUCGUGAAAUGAGAGAUGUGCCGACAAUAAGACUGGAUUUUGCAACAUCUUCAGUUGAGUUCUACUUUGAAUUAGUUUCCUCCUGUUAACAGUGAUGAUGAUGAUGAUAAUAAUGAUGGCAGUGGUGGUGCUUCUUCUGAAAUUACAUUAGUACGAACUUUUUUUUUAUUGAGUUUUUUUUAAUACUCUUUUAUUGAGUUCUACUUUGAGGAAGUCUUUACCUAUUAAGUUUUAUGUUAGGAUUUUUUGGCAUGUCAUGUUGUAAUUAUUUAUAUAUUUUUAUUUUACCUUGAUACUUUAUGUUA